rnacentral:rRNA from 1 species
UACGUAGGGACCAAGCGUUGUUCGGAUUUACUGGGCGUAAAGGGCGCGUAGGCGGCAAUUCAAGUCAUCUGUGAAAUCUCCGGGCUUAACUCGGAACGGUCAGAUGAUACUGCUUUGCUAGAGUGCAGAAGGGGCAAUCGGAAUUCUCGGUGUAGCGGUGAAAUGCGUAGAUAUCGAGAGGAACACCAGAGGUGAAGACGGGUUGCUGGGCUGACACUGACGCUGAGGAGCGAAAGCGUGGGGAGCGAACAGG